rnacentral:rRNA from 1 species
CCUACGGGGGGCAGCAGUGGGGAAUAUUGGACAAUGGGGGCAACCCUGAUCCAGCCAUGCCGCGUGUGUGAAGAAGGCCCUCGGGUUGUAAAGCACUUUCAGUGAGGAAGAACGCCUGGUGGUUAAUACCCAUCAGGAAAGACAUCACUCACAGAAGAAGCACCGGCUAACUCCGUGCCAGUAGCCGCGGUAAUACGGAGGGUGCGAGCGUUAAUCGGAAUUACUGGGCGUAAAGCGCGCGUAGGUGGCUUGAUAAGCCGGUUGUGAAAGCCCCGGGCUCAACCUGGGAACGGCAUCCGGAACUGUCAAGCUAGAGUGCAGGAGAGGAAGGUAGAAUUCCCGGUGUAGUGGUGAAAUGCGUAGAGAUCGGGAGGAAUACCAGUGGCGAAGGCGGCCUUCUGGACUGACACUGACACUGAGGUGCGAAAGCGUGGGUAGCAAACAGGAUUAGAUACCCUAGUAGUC